rnacentral:lncRNA from 1 species
GAAUGAACUGAUGUUAAAGCACCAUCUCAGAGAACAGACUGUCAGGACUAAACCCCAUGAACAACGUCACUGGAUUUGCUGGGAAAGAGGCCUUAAAGACAAAACAACAGAAAUGAAUGAGCAAAACAGACUACAUGUACUAAACACCAUGGACACCGUGACUGAAUUUGCUGAAAAAGGCCCUGAAGAAGCAGAAGAAUACAGCUAAAUGAGAAUGAACUGAUGUCAAAGAUGAGCAAAACAAACUGCAUGUACUAAACACCAUGGACACCGUGACUGAAUAUGCUGAAAAAGGCCCUGAAGAAGAAGAACAAUACACCUAAAUGAGUGAG